AAUAGUUUUAUGCCACAUCAGUAUUCUUAUCUUGAAUUUCAGAAUUUCAUCCUGAAAAAAAUCAAAUCCAAAUUAAAAUACUGAAAUUCUGGAUAAAAUCCUGAAAUUCAGGAUAAGAAUACUGAUGUGGCAUAAAACUAUU
rfam:Gossypium hirsutum cultivar TM-1 chromosome 10, whole genome shotgun sequence